rnacentral:rRNA from 1 species
AUUGAACGCUGGCGACAGGCCUAACACAUGCAAGUCGAGCGAGCGGCGGACGGGUGAGUAAUGUCUGGGAAACUGCCUGAUGGAGGGGGAUAACUACUGGAAACGGUAGCUAAUACCGCAUACCAUCAGAUGUUCCCAGAUGUGAUUAGCUAGUGGGUGGGGUAACGGCUCACCAAGGCGACGAACCCUAGCUGGUCUGAGAGGAUGACCAGCCAGACGGGAACUGAAAAACGGUCCAGAGUCGUACGGGAGGAAGAGGUGGGGAAUAUUGCACAAUGGGCGCAAGCCUGAUGCAGACAUGCCGCGGGUAUGAAGAAGGCCUUCGGGUUGUAAAGUACUUUCAGCGGGGAGGCGUUACUCGCAGAAGAAGCACCGGCUAACUCCGUGCCAGCAGCCGCGGUAAUAC